AAUGUUGGCAGCGAUGAAAUGUAAAUGUAAUGACGGACGAGCGAAGUGUUGUAAAUCGCUGGGUGGCUGACGGACUAACGUCCUUACGGCCGCCUGCGUUCAAUUUCAGUAGCCUAACUCCACGGAGGACCUGCCCAUGCCCACACAGUAACGUGACCACUCCUAGCUGUGCGAGUGGUCGAGCGACAGCAGACAUGCCUUGGGCGCCUGGAGCCUCGGGUAGCAACCCUGCCGACCCCGCCGACCCUGCCAUGAUUUGGGGGUGGACGUCGCGCUAUCCCCACUCCGGGGCCGUUGGUGCGGGCGGAGAUCGCUAGAGCAGCCUUGAGCGGGCUCCACGUGGUUGAACCCCGCCAUGCUGCAGGGAUAGGCGGGUCACGGCAGUAGGAACCUGCCUGCGCCUGACGCCAGACGACUUGCUGGCAUCUAGUAAGGGAGUGUUUGGGCAGAGGGCGACACAACAGGGUUUGAGAUUAUUGUUGUGCACCGUGCCACGGGCCAUAUUCACAACAAAAUAUUGUGAUAUCAUGUAUGUAUUAUUAAUUUAAUUACUUGUGUAAAUCAGUAUUGUUAAACAGUGUUAUGUAAGUAUUGUUUUAGGUGUGUAACUAAAUAUUUCUGCUGAUAUAAUGCUUUUCACGCUUUAGUUUGACAUGGGUAAUUAUUUGUCACGAAUGAUUAUUUUAUUUGUUAAAUCACACACCACAAGUGUGUAAAUAUGUUAAGUCCAACUACGAGGCUUGAAUAUUUCUCGAUCGGAUUGUAGCUGUGGGCGACUGUGGCUCAACGAAGUAGCAUUCAGCUAGGUCCUAUUCGUAUGCCGUGUUGUCGCUUUCACAUGCCAGAUACCUACCUCAAACUACACACUUCCAUUUGGGCAAUUAGUUAAGAUGCAUUAAGUACCAAAUUAUUGGUAAGCUUCAAGUUGAAGAAUUAUUUGAAAUCAAAGUUUGUUUUAAAUGUACGAGAAAAUUUUUUUAAUUCAAAUAAUUUACAAUUU